GAUGGUAGCUGCUGUGGGAAGGCUACUCUGAGCAUCGGCUGCCCGACAUGUGAGUGCCAUUCCUUGGGGCAUUUCUGCCACUGCAGCCCUCAAGCUUGCUGCUUCUGGAAGAACGAGCUUGACAAACAUAUUAUGGUCUGGUUCCAGUCAAGCAAAAUUCUUUAGCACCAGCUCCUCAUACCAUGCACCUGCUGUCGCCCAGCAUGCACCCUAUUUUAAGGGUACAGCCAUUGUCAAUGGAGAGUUCAAAGACCUAAGCCUUGAUGACUUUAAGGGGAAAUAAUUUGGUGCUUUUCUUCUAUCCUUUGGAUUUCACCUUCGUGGUCCUACAGAAACUGUUGCUUUUAGUGACAAAGCUAAGGAAUUUCAUGAUGUGAACUGUGAAGUUGUGGUCUCAGUGGAUUCCCACUUUAGUCAUCUUGCCUGGAUAAAUACACCAAGAAAUAAUGGUGGUUUGGACCACAUGAACAUCCCACUCUUGUCAGAUUUGAGCAAACUUCCUGAGACUACGGUGUGCUGUUAGAAGGUUCUGGUCUUGCACUAAGAGGUCUCUUCAUAACUGACCCCAAUGGAGUCAUCAAGCACUUGAGCGUCAAUGACCUCCCAGUGGGCCGAAGCGUGGAAGAAACCCUCCACUUGGUGAAGGCGUUCCAGUAUGUAGAAACCCAUGGAGAAGUCUGCCCAGCAAACUGGACACUGGAUUCUCCUACAAUCAAGCCAAAUCCAGCUGCUUCCAAAGAGUACUUUCAGAAGGUAAAUCAGU
rnacentral:lncRNA from 1 species